GGGUAUAUUGAAAUAAAAAAUACUUUAGGGGAUUAUCUAGACUUUGGCUAUACUUGAGGGUAGUAAUUUGUACUUUUCCCUUUCAUUUUUGAGCCUAGCACAUCAUAGGAGGGUUUAAUAAAAGGCUAAUUGCUUGGAAAUUUGAUCUGGAAAUGCAGAUGUAUUGCCAUUUGGUUUUGUUCUCUUAACUUGAUAUUAAUUCUUCAGAAUUCAUUUGGAUCAUCACUGCAUGCUAGGGAGGAACAGUUGGUGUUGGCAACUAUCGUGUUUAGUUCUUUUUAUUGAACACUCAGGAGUGCUUUGUGUCUUUUUUGUAUUAGAGGUAGAAAAGAAAGGACUGGUCCGUUACAUUGCCCCAAAGGGCAAAACCACAUGAACACAGAUAUAUACA
rnacentral:lncRNA from 1 species